rnacentral:rRNA from 1 species
CAAGGAUUCCCCUAGUAACGGCGAGUGAAGCGGGAAGAGCUCAAAUUUGAAAUCUGGCGGUCUACGGCCGUCCGAGUUGUAAUCUAGAGAGGUGUUUUCCGUGCCGGACCGUGUACAAGUCCCUUGGAACAGGGCGUCAUAGAGGGUGAGAAUCCCGUCCAUGACACGGACUACCGGUGCUCUGUGAUACACCUUCAAAGAGUCGAGUUGUUUGGGAAUGCAGCUCAAAAUGGGUGGUAAAUUCCAUCUAAAGCUAAAUACAGGCGAGAGACCGAUAGCGAACAAGUACCGUGAGGGAAAGAUGAAAAGAACUUUGGAAAGAGAGUUAAACAGUACGUGAAAUUGUUGAAAGGGAAACGCUUGAAGUCAGUCGCGUCUGCCAGGACUCAGCCUUGCUUCUGCAUGGUGCAUUUCCUGGUGGAUGGGCCAGCAUCGAUUUUGGUCGCCGGACAAGGGCGGGAGGAAUGUGGCAGCUUGCUGUGUUAUAGCCUCCCGUCGUACACGGUGGUUGGGAUCGAGGACUGCAGCACGCCUUUGGUCGGGGUUCGCCCACGCCACGUGCUUAGGAUGCUGGCGUAAUGGCUUUAAACGACCCGUCUUGAAACACGGACCAAGGAGUCUAACAUGCCUGCGAGUGUUUGGGCGUUAAACCCAGGCGCGUAAUGAAAGUGAAAAGUUGGGACUCUUUAGUGAGGCACCGACGCCCGAUCCUGACGUUCUCUGACGGAUUUGAGGUAGAGCAUGUAUGUUGGGACCCGAAAGAUGGUGAACUAUGCCUGAAUAGGGUGAAGCCAGAGGAAACUCUGGUGGAGGCUCGUAGCGAUUCUGACGUGCAAAUCGAUCGUCAAAUUUGGGUAUAGGGGCGAAAGACUAAUCGAACCAUCUAGUAGCUGGUUCCUGCCGAU